rnacentral:rRNA from 1 species
AUACGGAGGAUCCGAGCGUUAUCCGGAUUUAUUGGGUUUAAAGGGUGCGUAGGCGGCCUUUUAAGUCAGCGGUGAAAGUCUGUGGCUCAACCAUAGAAUUGCCGUUGAAACUGGGGGGCUUGAGUAUGUUUGAGGCAGGCGGAAUGCGUGGUGUAGCGGUGAAAUGCAUAGAUAUCACGCAGAACCCCGAUUGGGAAGGCAGCCUGCCAAGCCAUGACUGACGCUGAUGCACGAAAGCGUGGGGAUCAAACAGGAUUAGAUACCCUGGUAGUCCACGCAGUAAACGAUGAUCACUAGCUGUUUGCGAUACACUGUAAGCGGCACAGCGAAAGCGUUAAGUGAUCCACCUGGGGAGUACGCCGGCAACGGUGAAACUCAAAUGAAUUGGCGGGG